UACGUAGGUGGCGAGCGUUGUCCGGAAUUACUGGGCGUAAAGGGUGCGUAGGCGGUAUAUUAAGUCAGAUGUGAAAACCCAAGGCUUAACCUUGGGAUUGCAUUUGAAACUGGUAUGCUAGAGUGCAGGAGAGGUAAGCGGAAUUCCUAGUGUAGCGGUGAAAUGCGUAGAUAUUAGGAAGAACAUCAGUGGCGAAGGCGGCUUACUGGACUGUAACUGACGCUGAGGCACGAAAGCGUGGGGAGCAAACAGGAUUAGAUACCCUGGUAGUCCACGCUGUAAACGAUGAGUGCUAGGUGUAGGGGGUAUCGACACCCUCUGUGCCGGAGUAAACGCAAUAAGCACUCCGCCUGGGGAGUACGGUCGCAAGACUAAA
rnacentral:rRNA from 1 species